GGUUUCACAUGCUACUAAAGUACCAUAAUGUUGGUGCCAAUCUCAAGUCUAUUCCAUAUAUAAAUAUAUAGAACUUGAAUGAACUUGUGAAAUUAUCACACAAGCUUAGAUUUGUUUUUUUGUUAUCAAGUGUUUUCAUUGUGGGAUAGCACCAGGAAUCAACUCCACAGAAGACAACAACAACAAAGGGCUAAUGCCAGCUACCUCAAAAUGAAUGAUGCGUGUGACAAUCCCUUGACGUAAGAGGCAGGUGGGAGGGGUCUUUGGAAUUGAAUGA
rnacentral:lncRNA from 1 species